rnacentral:sRNA from 1 species
UCGGUGGCAGUUGCUGGACGCGUGUCCGAAA